AUGCACGCUGGCGGCGUGCCUAAUACAUGCCAGUCGAGCGAACGGACGAGAAGCUUGCUUCUCUAAUGUUAGCGGCGGACGGGUGAGUAACACGUGGAUAACCUACCUAUAAGACUGGGAUAACUUCGGGAAACCGUAGCUAAUACCGGAUAAUAUUUUGAACCGCAUGGUUCAAAAGUGAAAGACGGUCUUGCUGUCACUUAUAGAUGGAUCCGCGCUGCAUUAGCUAGUUGGUAAGGUAACGGCUUACCAAGGCAACGAUGCAUAGCCGACCUGAGAGGGUGAUCGGCCACACUGGAACUGAGACACGGUCCAGACUCCUACGGGAGGCAGCAGUAGGGAAUCUUCCGCAAUGGGCGAAAGCCUGACGGAGCAACGCCGCGUGAGUGAUGAAGGUCUUCGGAUCGUAAAACUCUGUUAUUAGGGAAGAACAUAUGUGUAAGUAACUGUGCACAUCUUGACGGUACCUAAUCAGAAAGCCACGGCUAACUACGUG
rnacentral:rRNA from 1 species